AACCUAGCACACCUGCGGUGUGUACCUGCGGAAGGAUCAUUAUUGAACCUUUGUCUCUGAUGAGACGGAUCCUCCGGGAUCACACACACACUGUGAACUGUGGCUUCGGCCUUUUUACACUUUAUGUAUGAAUGUAUUACUAUAAUAAACAAAACUUUCAACAACGGAUCU
rnacentral:misc_RNA from 1 species